rnacentral:tRNA from 1 species
GAGGCUAUAGCUCAGUGGUAGAGCACAUUCUUGGCACACAUGAGGUCCUGGGUUCAAUCCUCAGUACCUCU